rnacentral:rRNA from 1 species
GAUGAGCGCUAGCGGCAGGCCUAAUACAUGCAAGUCGAACGGGAUCUGAGGGUAGCUUGCUACCCGAUUUGAGAGUGGCGCACGGGUGCGUAACGCGUGAGCAACCUACCCAUAUCAGGGGGAUAGCCCGAAGAAAUUCGGAUUAACACCGCAUAAUAAUACGCUAACACAUGUUGAUGUAUUUAAAUUUUUCUAGGAUAUGGAUGGGCUCGCGUGACAUUAGCUAGUUGGUAAGGUAACGGCUUACCAAGGCGACGAUGUCUAGGGGCUCUGAGAGGAGAAUCCCCCACACUGGUACUGAGACACGGACCGGACUCCUACGGGAGGCAGCAGUAAGGAAUAUUGGUCAAUGGGCGCAAGCCUGAACCAGCCAUGCCGCGUGCAGGAUGACUGCCCUAUGGGUUGUAAACUGCUUUUGUUAGGGAAUAAACCUUCUUACGUGUAAGGAGCUGAAUGUACCUAAAGAAUAAGGAUCGGCUAACUCCGUGCCAGCCGCCGCCGUAAAAC